AGAAUAAACAAAGUUUCAACUAUACGUGAUCUGAUCAUUUUAUCACAUUGAAUGAGAUCCGGUCAAAUCCUCCAAUCUAUUUGUUUAUACAAAAAAUCACAUAUAUAGUUUUAAGACAAGUCUCAUUAUGAUAUCUAUAAAGCCGACUCUCUUGUCGGAAUACUAAAUCCUCCUAACAACUCCUCCAUAACCAAAAACCUUCAAUCUUCAACCUCUCCAAUCCCCACACACACAAAGAACCAGUCAAUAUGUUGAGUCCCUUUUCUUCACCGAAGAGAUCGAGGAAAGAAAGCAAGAACCCUUAUUCAAAUCGUGGUCUUGACAAGUUCUCUGCACUUCUAUCUGAGCUCGACGAGAAGAGACAGAGCAUUUACGCUAAUAGGCUAGACUCCGAUGGGCCUCCUCUUGUUCGGUUUGUGUUCAAAAGCUCCGGAGAGUGCGUUCCUGUGAUGAUCAAGACAAAGAAGGUAACCAAGAAGAAGGUUGAUGGUCAAGAAGAUGAUCUCAAGAUCAAGACCGAGUCAAAAACAAAGGAGGCAAAGGAAAUAAAGGAGACAGAGUCAGAAACAACGGAGAAGAAACAGAGAUGUGUAUUGAACGAGAAUCUGGAGAAGAUUUCAAGACCGAACCGUUUUUUACCCGUGACAGUGAUGUUGGUUCUAGUCUUCUUGGUGUUUUUUGGACGAACAGUUUCGAUCAUGUGCACUUGUAUCGUUUGGUACUUGGUUCCAAUGAUCAAAGAACAAAGCAGAAAGAAAGGAUCAACAUACAAGACCAAAAAGAAGAAGAAGAAAAUGAACGAGAGGAUGGCGCAUGACCAAAAUGUUCUCAAGGAGAAGCUUCCGCACCUUUCUGCUGCUCCUGGUUUCUGAGAGGGAGUUGCGGCGGAGAAUGAAUGGAGUGAAUUAGAGAGGCGAUGUGGUGGGCAGAGAGAAAGGCAGUUGAGGAAAGAGAGGGAGACGAGAGAUGUGGAGAGAGAGUUCUGAAUGUUGUGGAGAUGGAGAGAGCAGAGGAGCGGUUUGUGAAGGAGAUGGAGGUGACGAGGCGGAAUUCGGAGCUGGCAUCACAGGUUAUGACGGUGGUAGGGGUUUGGAGGAGGGACGGUGGUCGCAGGGGACGGUGGGGAUGUUGAGAGAUUUGAGGGCUUUGACAUGUUGUGGCCUGUGGGUCUAAUGGAGGUGCGAGGAGUGGGAGAGGUGCAUGUAAAGGGAGAGAGGUUGCGGAGAGGGAAGGAUCGUCUGUAUUGAUGCUCGAUGUGCAAGCUUGAUCUUUGUUUGUGGGAUUGCUAAUCACUUGGUAAAAGAGUCACAUUCUCUAUAAAAAAGAUGGACCUGGUAGCAGCAGUAACUAUGAACUUUGAAAAGUAAUUUUAUCAAGCUCAUAAUACUUCAGGACUUAGAAGCAGCAGUAACUCCCGGAGGUGUAUCUUUGUCUUGUGGCUACACUCAUCAGCGAUGUUUUGGAUCUUUUGCUUUUGGAAAAAUGAACCAUUCAGUCUCCAAGCUAUUUUCGAAGAGGUCAUCUCUCUCCUAAAGCUAAUCUCAUCGGUGACGAAACUAUCGACGAAUCUGAUCUUUUCUGCACCGGUUAAUUGAUAUAAUUAAAAUAUCUGUACCGGUUAGUGGACAUAAUUAAAGUUCUAAAUCUAAAAGCAUGUGAUGUGAAAAAGAUAUAAAAUAUGUGAUUUUUUUCAUAUAAAGUUACAACAUUUAAUAUUAAUU